rnacentral:rRNA from 1 species
UAACCCCGGGAAACCUGGAUCUAAUACCGGAUACAACACCAACGGGCAUCCGUAUGGUGUGGAAAGUUUUUCGGUCUGGGAUGGACUCGCGGCCUAUCAGCUUGUUGGUGAGGUAGUGGCUCACCAAGGCGACGACGGGUAGCCGGCCUGAGAGGGCGACCGGCCACACUGGGACUGAGACACGGCCCAGACUCCUACGGGAGGCAGCAGUGGGGAAUAUUGCACAAUGGGCGCAAGCCUGAUGCAGCGACGCCGCGUGAGGGAUGACGGCCUUCGGGUUGUAAACCUCUUUCAGCAGGGAAGAAGCGCAAGUGACGGUACCUGCAGAAGAAGCACCGGCUAACUACGUGCCAGCAGCCGCGGUAAUACGUAGGGUGCGAGCGUUGUCCGGAAUUAUUGGGCGUAAAGAGCUUGUAGGUGGUUUGUCGCGUCUGCUGUGAAAAUCCGGGGCUCAACCCCGGACUUGCAGUGGGUACGGGCAGACUAGAGUGUGGUAGGGGAGACUGGAAUUCCUGGUGUAGCGGUGGAAUGCGCAGAUAUCAGGAGGAACACCGAUGGCGAAGGCAGGUCUCUGGGCCAUUACUGACACUGAGAAGCGAAAGCAUGGGGAGCGAAC